CAGUAGAUAGAAUAGUUCAUGUGGUAUUUAAGAGUGUUACGGGAUGUAUCGCAAGAGAUACGAUCUAAGAUUUCUUUAAAAGUAAAGCAUCAGUCUGAAUCAUGUUCGUUUCAUGCAGAUUUGCUGGUGGGCAUGAAUUCGCUUUAGUUUGAAGCUACCGCGUGUUUUUUGGGAAAAUAUCUUAAGUUAUGUAGCAUUACGACUUUUCAAACCUACUUUGGUUUGCUCUAUAUAUCAACGGAGGUACCCUGCCAAGAAUUAUGUAGUGGUAGAGAUCAAGCAUCAUAUAUUGUAAAGAUGGAUAUGCUGAUUUCGACAAUUUUGGCCGUUCAAUACAACCUAAUUUUUUUCAUAAGCACCUUCCAAGUAGUAGGUUAAGCAGUUGAUGGAGGACAUCUAUUGCAUAUGGUUUGUGAUGUAACAAUAGCUGCUAACAAUGCCGAUCGAUUUUUUCCGCACAAGCCCGGAGGUAUUUAUUUGUAACUCUUUGUUUCAGUGUUGAAGACAUAAGGUGGUCAUUCUUUCUUAUUUCAGAUUUAUGAGUUCAGCUUUAUGAAUUAUAUAUUUCAUGUAAUGCCAUUUUCCCCACCCUAAGGAAUCUAAGCUUUUUUAUUAUGUUGUGCAAGGAAUAUUAGUAAUGCAGUAAACUUUUGCAAAAUUAAGGACUCCAUGUUCACGUCUCUAUGGUAUACUGGUCUCCAGCAUGGAUGAAAACCUUAUCCCAGAGUACUUGCUAGUUUUGCGCUUGAAGAGUAAAGAAAAAUUCGGAUGCUCUCGUCCUACUGUUACCUACAGUUUUUACAACGUCGCACACUUCUACAACUUAGUGUCAUUUUUAUUUGAACUAUUGUAGUACCACGCGCUGCCUUCAUUCCAUUGUAACUGUAAUCUUGAAUAUGGAGCUGCGAGAAGAACGAGCCGAGAGGAGUUGAAAAUUUUGAUUAAAAACGAAGGAUGAAGUAUCCGAGAUCUAUACUCAGAAUAUAACUGGAAUAAGAGAGGUAGCAUUUCCUUCUUUGCAACCUAUCGAACACUGGCGCCACUUGACACAUCAUCAUGCCUUCUCACGUUUUUGUUGUCGGAUAGUGAUCGAUGAACACCUCACGAAUGACAAAGUAAAAGAUGCCUGCAGUUAUAUAUAGCGCCCUAGAAAUUCCAUCGAAAACAUUCAAGACAUUUAAGCAGUGAGUUUGAAAUCCCAUGGUGAAAAGGCUGAUGUAGUGGAGUGAAACAACCGAGUUGCCUUGCAUACUCUCUGCUACGAUGAGAGCCCUAAAGUUUUCUCUGUGUAGCUGAUGGUUUUUGGCCAGUCAGAUUUCAAUAGUCUUAGAUUGAAAGACAGUGGUUGUUUUAUCGAUGAUCAUCUCAUUUAUAUCAGCACCAAGGAACCCGCUGUGGAUCGGCGUUAUCCCUGGAUUGUCCUUUACGGAACCAGUCAGAACCACUCUCCAGACUGGAAAAUCAGAUUUAAUACAAAUGCUAUUCGU